CAUUGGCCCGCGGCGGCUCCAACCAUUGGUCCGCGCUACCUGUCCAUUUCUUGCGAGAGUUCAACACCUCCUGGCUGGAGGAGGCUGCGGCCUCAUUGGGUGCAUGCGGAGGGAUGGGUGGACCCAGAAAGUUUUAGCUGGAGGUUGAUUGUUAGACGAGCUGGAGACAGUGGGACAAUCUGUAAAGGCUGGAUGUGGAAGAACAGAAAACCUCUGAAGAGGACACCAGGGUGGUUCAGUCGGUGUCCCACUUGAUCUCACGGUUGCUUCCCCUUCCAUAAAACGGGGAUGCCAAUCCAUACCUACCUUGGUGCAGAGGACGACACCAGAUUGUUUCUCAAGAUCUCUUCCAGCUCGGGAGAAACAGAGCUUAACAGAGGAAUGGCUGCUACCAGCAAGCUGGGGAAAAGGAAUCCAGAGCCUGUGAUUUCCAAGAGCCUUUGUGGUUGGUGCCCCUGAAACCAGACUGCCAAGUGUGGCCUGUGCAGCAUGAAUAUGAGGCCCUGACAGUAUCUGACAAUACUAAUAUCAUCCUCAGGCCCUUUUGUAAUUCAAUCACCUCAUAAUUAACCUGUUAUAAUUCCA